UGUCUAUCAUGUAGGGUUCCAAAGCUGG
rnacentral:piRNA from 1 species